rnacentral:rRNA from 1 species
CCCGGAUUUAGCGGCGGACGGGUGAGUAAUGCCUAGGAAUCUGCCUGGUAGUGGGGGACAACGACUCGAAAGGGUCGCUAAUACCGCAUACGUCCUACGGGAGAAAGUGGGGGAUCUUCGGACCUCACGCUAUCAGAUGAGCCUAGGUCGGAUUAGCUUGUAGGUGAGGUAAUGGCUCACCUAGGCAACGAUCCGUAACUGGUCUGAGAGGAUGAUCAGUCACACUGGAACUGAGACACGGUCCAGACUCCUACGGGAGGCAGCAGUGGGGAAUAUUGGACAAUGGGCGAAAGCCUGAUCCAGCCAUGCCGCGUGUGAAGAAGGUCUUCGGAUUGUAAAGCACUUUAAGUUGGGAGGAAGGGUUGUAGUUUAAUACGCUGCAAUCUUGACGUUACCAACAGAAUAAGCACCGGCUAACUCUGUGCCAGCAGCCGCGGUAAUACAGAGGGUGCAAGCGUUAAUCGGAAUUACUGGGCGUAAAGCGCGCGUAGGCGGCUUGAUAAGAUGGGUGUGAAAUCCCCGGGCUUAACCUGGGAACUGCAUCCAUAACUGUCUGGCUAGAGUACAGUAGAGGGUGGUGGAAUUUCCUGUGUAGCGGUG